GACGAACGCUGGCGGCGUGCUUAACACAUGCAAGUCGAACGGAAAGGCCCUGCUUUUGUGGGGUGCUCGAGUGGCGAACGGGUGAGUAACACGUGAGUAACCUGCCCUUGACUUUGGGAUAACUUCAGGAAACUGGGGCUAAUACCGGAUAGGAGCUCCUGCUGCAUGGUGGGGGUUGGAAAGUUUCGGCGGUUGGGGAUGGACUCGCGGCUUAUCAGCUUGUUGGUGGGGUAGUGGCUUACCAAGGUUUUGACGGGUAGCCGGCCUGAGAGGGUGACCGGCCACAUUGGGACUGAGAUACGGCCCAGACUCCUACGGGAGGCAGCAGUGGGGAAUAUUGCACAAUGGGCGGAAGCCUGAUGCAGCAACGCCGCGUGCGGGAUGACGGCCUUCGGGCUGUAAACCGCUUUCGCCUGUGACGAAGCGUGAGUGACGGUAAUGGGUAAAGAAGCACCGGCUAACUACGUG
rnacentral:rRNA from 1 species